UGGUUAAGUUGGCCCGACGGCCUAUAAACAGAAACCCUAAUUCUAAUUUCGCGAGGAAAUGGACUUCGUCAUCUUCGUUUUACGGCGACUCGACAACGCCUAAGCUUCUUCUGAAUCUCUCUGAGACUGUGUGAGUAAUGGUUUGUUCGUGUUUAAUCCCAUUAAUCCUUUCUCUCUUUUUUUACCUCACAAAGAUUGAUCACGUGAGUCCACAACUCAUGUAUUCAUUUUCUACGCUUUCAUGGAGAAUCGAUUUCUAGGGUUGCCACUGUUCUUAAACAAUUGUCGUUUAAAACCGACAAAGAAGCUCCGGCUGGGUUACGGGGAUGAGUAUUUCCUACCAAUCUAUGGUGGUAGCCGCUGUCUAUGUCGAAUCGCCUGGACCGUUACAAAACUCUACUGCAUUCAGUCAUCGUCAUUAACGAUCUCAUUAAUACAGAUUCCCCACUCCUCUCAUGAUGUUUGCCCUUCUCGCUUCCAUUGUGCAAAUCUACAACUAUAAAUAUAGAUUAGGAUGACAAACUCUUCACUCCUGCUCCCCAAUUUGAAAGCCAGGUGUUGUAACUCCACUGUUAAAGUUCACUGCUGAUUAAAAAGAUGUAAUGGGUGAAUGUCUCGGAGGUUCUGGUUAAGAAGAAUUCAAAACUUCCCAAACAGUUGUUAAGAAAGAUGAAGAUUUGAAAGUUCUUGAAAUGGUGGGGGAUGAGGAUUGGUUGCCUCCACCUGCCUCCACCGGCAAAGGUUAUCUUCACUAAAAUUAUCUCAAUAAUAUCAAAAAGUCCGCUAAAGAUUUCAGCCAUUACAUCAUUGAAGUAGUUUUGUAUGUAUAUGCUUCCCAUGUUUUCUUUUAGAAAGGAGGUUGGAUGACAUCAUGUUGCAGUUCUAGAAUAUUGAUGUCAUCAGAAUUAUUAGCAGUGUUCUUGGCCAGAGCAUAGCUUUGAAUUACUAAUUUACUAUGGCCGGCAGGUAGCAAUCACAUAUCAGUUUGUUCCUGUUAGGUUGAUGGUAUGGUAGCAAUUAGCAAAGGUACUGAACAAACCAUGGGAUGGAGAAAAUAGGAACGCUUACAACGGACAUGAAGAAGCUGUUCCAGUUGGAGAUUUUUCACUAAAGCAACUCCAAACGAAGAGUUUCUAAUUUGUUUUUAGUGUGUUUUAUCAUUUUCUUUUCCUAGGUGAAUUUGUAAGCAAGAGUUUCAUAUAUGACUUGCUGCAACCGUAAAAAUUGUGUUUUUACUUUUAUGCGUCAAUCUUUUAAUAAUACAAUAAAAGGGUCAUGUGCUAAUCUUCCUUAGAAACUUUUUUAGCACUCAAUUUAGCAAUAAUAUGACGCA